UGGCGGACGGGUGAAUAACGCGUGGGGAACCUGCCCUGUACAGGGGGAUAACACUUAGAAAUAGGUGCUAAUACCGCAUAAGCGCACAGUAUCGCAUGAUACAGUGUGAAAAACUCCGGUGGUACAGGAUGGACCCGCGUCUGAUUAGCUGGUUGGCGGGGUAACGGCCCACCAAGGCGACGAUCAGUAGCCGGCCUGAGAGGGUGAACGGCCACAUUGGGACUGAGACACGGCCCAAACUCCUACGGGAGGCAGCAG
rnacentral:rRNA from 1 species